rnacentral:rRNA from 1 species
AAUGAUCCUUCCGUAGGGGAACCUGCGGAAGGAUCAUUAGUGAAUAUAGGACGUCCAACUUAACUUGGAGUCCGAACUCUCACUUUCUAACCCUGUGCACUUGUUUGGGAUAGUAACUCUCGCAAGAGAGCGAACUCCUAUUCACUUAUAAACACAAAGUCUAUGAAUGUAUUAAAUUUUAUAACAAAAUAAAACUUUCAACAACGGAUCUCUUGGCUCUCGCAUCGAUGAAGAACGCAGCGAAAUGCGAUAAGUAAUGUGAAUUGCAGAAUUCAGUGAAUCAUCGAAUCUUUGAACGCACCUUGCGCUCCAUGGUAUUCCGUGGAGCAUGCCUGUUUGAGUGUCAUGAAUACUUCAACCCUCCUCUUUCUUAAUGAUUGAAGAGGUGUUUGGUUUCUGAGCGCUGCUGGCCUUUACGGUCUAGCUCGUUCGUAAUGCAUUAGCAUCCGCAAUCGAACUUCGGAUUGACUUGGCGUAAUAGACUAUUCGCUGAGGAAUUCUAGUCUUCGGACUAGAGCCGGGUUGGGUUAAAGGAAGCUUCUAAUCAGAAUGUCUACAUUUUAAGAUUAGAUCUCAAAUCAGGUAGGACUACCCGCUGAACUUAAGCAUAUCAAUAAGCGGAGGAG